GCCCGGCUAGCUCAAUCGGUAGAGCGUGAGACUCUUAUAGAGUGAGGAUCUCCGUAAUCUCAAGGUUGUGGGUUCGACCCCCACGUCGGGCU